rnacentral:misc_RNA from 1 species
UAAAGGAAAUUAUAAGUAAGGUGAAAAGAUAGUUUUUAGAAUGGGAGAAAAUAAUAGUAAAUGAAGUAAUUGAUAAAUAAUUAAUUUUAAAAAUAUAUAAGUAAUUUUUGUAGUUUAAUUUUAGAAAAAUAAAUGAUUUAAUUAAAAAAUGGGUUAAAGAAUUAAAUAGAUAUUUUUUUAAAGAAGAUAUAUAGAUGGUUAAUAAAUAUAUGAAAAGAUGUUUAAUAUUAUUUAUUAUUAGAGAAAUGUAAAUUAAAAGUAUAAUGAGAUAUUA